GCCUCAGUAGCUCAGUUGGUUAGAGCACAUGACUGUUAAUCAUGGGGUCACUGGUUCAAGCCCAGUCUGAGGCG
rnacentral:tRNA from 1 species